rnacentral:rRNA from 1 species
GCAUAUCAAUAAGCGGAGGAAAAGAAACCAACCAGGAUUCCCCUAGUAACGGCGAGCGAACCGGGAAAAGCCCAACAUGAAAAUCUCCCUUUGGAGAAUUGUAGUCUAUAGAGGCGCCCUCUGCGGCUGUGAGAGUUUAAGUUCGCUGGAAAGCGGCGUCAAAGAGGGUGAGAACCCCGUAAACUCUUUUUCAGCUGCACCACGAGGUGCUUUCCACGAGUCGGGUUGUUUGGGAAUGCAGCCCUAAAUUGGAGGUAAAUCCCUUCUAAGGCUAAAUACUGGCGAGAGACCGAUAGCGAACAAGUACCGUGAGGGAAAGAUGAAAAGCACUUUGAAAAGAGAGGUAAUAGCGCUUGAAAUUGUUGANUGGGAAGCGUUUAAAAGCCGUGAGUGCGCCUAGGCUUAUGCGUCUCUAACGAGCCGCUGCAUGUGCUANGUGCUGGUCAGCAUGGGUUCGAGGUGGCGGGAAAAAAGCUGGGGUUGAUACCCGGCCGAUGCCGUCCCUUGGACCGAGGAAUUUAAGUCCGCUCCGUCCUUCGGGAACUGCGGUUUAAAGAUGCUGGCAAAAGGCUUUUAACCGGCCCGUCUUGAAACACGGACCAAGGAGUCUAACAUGUAUGCGAGUCGGUGGGUGAAAAACCCAUCGGCGCAAGUAACCUGACUGGUGGGAGGGCGCAAGCCUGCACCAUCGACCGACCAUGAUUUUCUAUGAAAGGUUUGAGUGCGAGCAUACCUGUUGGGACCCGAAAGAUGGUGAACUAUGCCUGAGCAGGGCGAAGCCAGAGGAAACUCUGGUGGAGGCUCGUAGAUGUGCUGACGUGCAAAUCGCUUUUCGGACUUGGGUAUAGGGGCGAAAGACUAAUCGAACCAUCUAGUAGCUGGUUCCCUCCGAAGUUUCCCCCAGGAUAGCAGGAGCUUGAUUCAGUUUUAUCGGGUAAAGCGAAUGAUUAGAGGUUCGGGGGAUGAAACAUCCUUCACCUAUUCUCAAACUUUAAAUAGGUAAGACGCGUAGGUUGCUUAACUGAACCUGCGCAAUCAAUGUAAGCUCCUAGUGGGCCAUUUUUGGUAAGCAGAACUGGCGACGCGGGAUGAACCGAUAGCUGAGUUAAGGUGCCAAACUACGCGCUAACCCAGAUCCCACAAAGGGUGUUGAUUGAUAUAGACAGCAGGACGGUGGUCAUGGAAGUCGAAAUCCGCUAAGGAGUGUGUAACAACUCACCUGCCGAAUCAAUUAGCCCCGAAAAUGGAUGGCGCUUAAGCGCGUGACCUAUACUCGGCAAUGGAAAGAAGUGCGAGCUUUCCAUUUGUAGGAGGGCGUGGGUGUCGUUGCGAAGCCUUGAGCGUGAGCUCGGGUGAAACGGCACCUAGUGCAGAUCUUGGUGGUAGUAGCAAAUAUUCAAAUGAGAACUUUGAAGACUGAAGUGGAGAAAGGUCCAUGUGAACAGCAAUUGGACAUGGGUUAGUCGACCCUAAGAGAUGGGGAAAUCCUGUAUCAAGAGCGCGAUUCGCGCUGCCCAUCGAAAGGGAAGAGGGUUAAGAUUCCCUCACCUGGACAAGGCGGUUGACGGUAACGUAAGCGAGCCCAGAAACAUCGGCAUUGGCCCUGGAAAGAGUUCUCUUUUCUUUUUAACAGCUCGAAGGCCCUGGAAUCGGAUCAUCCGGCGAUAGGGCCCAGUAGCUGGUAAAGCACCGCACUUCUCGCGGUGUCCGGAGCGCCAAUGACGGUCCUGGAAAAUCUGGGGGAGCGAUUACCGAUCUUGCCAGNNNNNNNNNNNNNNNNNNNNNNNNNNNNNNNNNNNNNNNNNNNNNNNNNNNNNNNNNNNNUAGAUAAGGGAAGUCGGCAAAACAGUAUCCGUAACUUCGGGAAAAGGAUUGGCUCUGAGGGCUGGGCCUAGGGAUCUGCGUUCAGAAACCGAGGGCUGUCGGCUGUCUGCUCGAGCUGGGCAACUGGCGAGAGUGGACGGCUGCGUGCCCUCGGUGGACGGGCGUAGAAAGCUUCGGCGCUCCCUAGGCGACGAACAGCCAACUCAGAACUGGUACGGACAAGGGGAAUCCGACUGUUUAAUUAAAACAAAGCAUUGUGAUGGUCCUAAAGGAUGUUGACACAAUGU